rnacentral:rRNA from 1 species
UACGUAGGGUGCGAGCGUUGUCCGGAAUUAUUGGGCGUAAAGAGCUCGUAGGCGGUUUGUCGCGUCGGCCGUGAAAUCUCCACGCUUAACGUGGAGCGUGCGGUCGAUACGGGCAGACUUGAGUUCGGCAGGGGAGACUGGAAUUCCAGGUGUAGCGGUGAAAUGCGUAGAUAUCUGGAGGAACACCGGUGGCGAAGGCGGCAUCCUGGACCGGCAUUGACGCUGAGGCGCGGAAAGCCAGGGGAGCAAAGCGGG